rnacentral:ncRNA from 1 species
GCAAAUGCGAUGAGGAAGAAGAGUAGGCAUAUCGAAGGGUUGCAGAGAGCUGAUGGGUGGUGUGAAUCAGCGCCGGACGAAUGCUGAAUGGACUUCCGAGCACCAAACCGAACGAACGGCUCAAGUAGGCUUUGGCGUAUGUCCGUACGAUACAAUGGACACCGUAUCACAGCUUGAACUGUCGUACGGGUAUGAGUGAUUUCGACAAAUGUCGAAAUAAUAAGGGUGGCACCACGGUCUAUUCGUCCCUUUA